rnacentral:rRNA from 1 species
AGAGCUUGCUUUAAAGAAGUUAGCGGCGGACGGGUGAGUAACACGUGGGCAACCUGCCUGUAAGACUGGGAUAACUUCGGGAAACCGGAGCUAAUACCGGAUAAUAUAUAGUACCUCCUGGUACUAUAUUGAAAGUUGGUUUCGGCUAACACUUACAGAUGGGCCCGCGGCGCAUUAGCUAGUUGGUGAGGUAACGGCUCACCAAGGCAACGAUGCGUAGCCGACCUGAGAGGGUGANCGGCCACACUGGGACUGAGACACGGCCCAGACUCCUACGGGAGGCAGCAGUAGGGAAUCUUCCACAAUGGACGAAAGUCUGAUGGAGCAACGCCGCGUGAGCGAUGAAGGCCUUCGGGUCGUAAAGCUCUGUUGUUAGGGAAGAACAAGUGCGAGAGUAACUGCUCGCACCUUGACGGUACCUAACCAGAAAGCCACGGCUAACUACGUGCCAGCAGCCGCGGUAAUACGUANGUGGCAAGCGUUGUCCGGAAUUAUUGGGCGUAAAGCGCGCGCANGCGGUUUCUUAAGUCUGAUGUGAAAGCCCACGGCUCAACCGUGGAGGGUCAUUGGAAACUGGGAGAC